GUAAUGCAUGCCAGCCCCGGAGCCACUGCCGGGGACGCGCCUGGGCCACAGCAGACGAGUUUCCAACCCCUCCUCUCUUCCCGAAGGAGGGAAAACAGGCUAGUGUCCCGCAAGGUUGCCAGGGUGACAUUUUUUGGCGGCCGUGCUGUCGCGGCCGCUGAGCUGGCAGGGGCUGCUGGGAGCUGGGGCAGCCCCUCUGUCCCCGCACCGGGGUGCCCCUGCCCGGGGCUACCCAUCAGCGUGGGACCGCCGGCCGCGGGAUGCAGCUCAAGUACUCCAACGUCUACCUGGAGGGAAGGAAUCCAGCUGCGGGAGAAGAAAGGGCUGGUAAAUCACUCAGCACUCAGCUGGGAAAGCAUAAAUUCAAGAGUCCUGACCACGUGAAGACAUUCUGCAGCCAAACAAGAGGCAGCUUCAGAGACCGCCGGCUGUAAGAGUCCCGGCCCCGGGGGCUGGGGGCGGGCUGAGCCCCGGCCCCGGCUCACCCGCCCGGGGCGGGCCGGCCCUGCCGCCCCUCCCCUCCCCUCCCCGCCCCCCG